rnacentral:rRNA from 1 species
GAUGAACGCUGGCGGCGUGCCUAAUACAUGCAAGUCGAGCGAACAGACGAGGAGCUUGCUCCUCUGACGUUAGCGGCGGACGGGUGAGUAACACGUGGAUAACCUACCUAUAAGACUGGGAUCACUUCGGGAAACCGGAUCUAAUACCGGAUAAUCUAUUGAACCGCAUGGUUCAAUAGUGAAAGACGGUUUUGCUGUCACUUAUAGAUGGAUCCGCGCCGCAUUAGCUAGUUGGUAAGGUAACGGCUUACCAAGGCAACGAUGCGUAGGCGACCUGAGAGGGUGGUCGGCCACACUAGAGCUGAGACGCGGUCCAGACUCCUGAGGGAGGCAGCAGUAGGGAAUCUUACGCAAUAGGCGAAAGCCUGACGGAGCAACGGCGCGUGAGUGAUUAAGGUCUUCGGAUCGUAAAACUCUGUUAUUAGGGAAGAACAAAUGUGUCAGUAACUAUGCACGUCUUGACGGUACCUAAUCAGAAAGCCACGGCUAACUACGUG